AUGUGGUUCAUCCUCAACAGUGUCUACAUUGAGAUUGUUUCACCUUUAAUCUUCAAACGAACAAAAGACUACCGAAUGCCCAUCAUUUCGUGGGAGCUGCUGUUCAGUGGAUUUUGUUUUGUAACCUGCUUGAACAAUCUUCCCGCCAGUGACAUGUUCUCAAGUUUCACUUUUAGUAACUACCACCUGCCUUCAAAUCUGAGCUCUGCAUUUAUGAUAGGAGGAUUCAUGCACAGUGUAAGCAGAAGUGUAACAUUGAAGGGCACCAACAGUUGCUUAUUUUGGAGGCAGAUGAGUCUAUCUUUGCUUUCCACUUCUGCUUUCAAACUGGGGUGUGUAGAUUUCUUAUUUAAGGCUGUUCUGGUGAUUAGUAUAAUGGAUCAACUGUUAUGGUUCAUUCGAGCCCUGUGCAACCUCCAGAAGAUGGAUAGUGAAAAAAGUUGGAUCCUGUCCAUUACGUCUACCCUCUAUUGCAUCUUAUGGUGUUUUGUGUACUUAUUUUUGAUGCCUUCAUACAUGAUAAUCCCAGCGGCUUUUACAAGAACGAAUAGUGAGAGUAUACCACAUUUGCUCGUCCUAAAUUUAAGCCUUUGGAUCUGCUUCCUGUGUGAAUUCAUAAAUUCGCCUGUACUGCAAGUGAUAAAAGAACUGUUCCUGUAUCAGACAAUUAAUGUAGAUCUUUUCAUUUUCAAAGAAAACCUCCUUACAAGGUCAAACUUUGUAUUGUUAAAAAAGCAACUUGAGAAAGAAAAACAGAAAGUUGAAAGGUAAUUCCAUCUUCCUUUUCUCCUACACAAUGAGGCAAAAGAUAAUAACGUGCAGAGCUCUAUCCUCUAUCUAACACAAGUGUGAAUUAAAAGUGUACAACAAAGAAGAAAGUAAGUUUACUUUCUUCUUUGUUGUACACUUUUAAUUCCAUAACAUCCAUAACAUUCUGAAUGGAAAUCCGAUCCAGUACCUUUAAUUGAUUGUUGCUGACUUGUCUAUUAACUUGCAUGUCUUAAGAACCGCAUUUUAACAAUCUGUGCCAUACAAACACACGAUCAUGUUGGGGCUACCAAUUCUGUCAAUCAAUCUCUAAUUGCACCAAAGGCUAAAUGAUUACUAGGAGGCUAUGCCCACUGGUCGCUACACGGCCGAACCUCCUAAAGGUGUUCUUUGAUAUUAAAGGGCCGCUAAGCAGCCCAUCUUGUAGCCGCAGCUUUAAUAAAAUUCAUAUUUUCAUAAUAAAAUUUGCUCAACAAAACUGGGCAAAACCUUCAUGACAGAACUAGUAAGUGCCGAACAGAUUAUCAAUGCUGUCUAAUUUUUUCUUUAUUUUCAUUUUUUUUUUCAUUUCCGAUUUUUAUCGCUGCCUCUCUUUCUCUUAGCCUCUUAUCAAUGUUGGUUUUAUUUUUACCCAAACAAUUACAAAAUGUGGUACAAUUUACUGAUUCAUUUUUUGAUAAAUAAAGAAGACAAAUUUGAGAUCAAAAGCAUGCGUUUCGAAAUGAUUGAUUAAGGAACCAUUGCAGUGAAACGACGUAAGAAGAUUAUCAGGUCAUAAUUAAAAGGUCAGAGAGUCAGGGAUCGAACCCAAAAACUGAGACUUCAGACAGGAACGUCUGAUGCUUUAGACGACUCGGCCACCGGCCAGCUCGAAUUUUGUAAAGUGAAUCUUGUGUUCAUAGACCAGAGUUAAAAAACACGGGCUACUCGAUACUGCGCAUGGCAGCAGCAGUUGCAGUGCAUUCUGCAAAAUUGCUGACUUUCAUAACACGAUUGUAAAAAAAACCUGGUCUUAUUUGCAAAAUCUGAUCAGAACAGGCUCAUCUAGGCGGAUAUCACCUGUCGAUAACUGCAAAAUCAAUGAAAUUGAUCCAGCAGAACGCUCAAACGAACUGUGACAAAAAAUAAAAAAUUCAAGUUAAAAAAAAUAGAAGUCUGAAGAGUCUUAAUCAGAAAACUCAGUGCUUCCUAGCAUGCCCAAUUGCGUUUAAUUCUUAAGAGCAAUGGAGAAUUUGCAAGGGUCUGAAUUUUGAUGGAUUUCGUGUUUAAGGGGAAUCUACUGAGUGAACUGAACACGGAGAUACCCCUCAUUCAUAAAUUGAGCAAUUAUUAGAGGAGAUAUGGCAAAAUAACCGAUUCUACUAAAAUACAUGUGUUUAAAUGGUAAAUGCUGCCAGAUGACGUCACUAGGCGGUGCAUUUUCUCACUUUUAAAUCUACUUUUAAAGCAUUUCCCAUGUCGGAAGAAAAUUAUAAAAAAUACUGUGAAUUCAGCUCUUUAAGCACUUUCAGAUGAGGCAAUAAAAAAUUUGCGUGCAAAUUCUCCAUUCUUCCAUUGUCAAGAACCCAUUCUGAAAUUCACCAAGACAAUCUUAUUUUGAAGUGAAGCUCCUUAUUUUCACUUGAUUAAUGAUUCACCUUGUUUUUUUUCUAGACUGCAAAAAGCUGUGCCCAAACAAGAAAACCAGGAGCAAAAAAUCAAUAAAAAAAUGAACCCUGGGACUGUCAUACAAACAAUUAAAUGUGAGUACAAAUAUUUCACUCAAACUGAGGUGAUUCGACAACGGGUAGAAUCUACGCUCAUCCACCCAUGUCUUUGGAUUAUUUGGACUUCAUUUUGCAAAUAGGAAUCACAAUUUCUGGCUCAUUCGUAAAAACAUGUACACAGUGAAAUUAAUGAUACAUCCAUCGUUCCUAAACUGAACUAGAAACUGUUGUCCCAGAUUGUAAAAUGCAGUCCAUUUGAUUAAGACUCAGGGAUCUGGAAUUGUAGAUCAAAAGAGGACUCUUCUUGUUUUCUGUGAACACAAGUCUUAACUUUAAAUGCCUGUGAAGUAAAAAAAAAAAAAAAUACCGUCCCUCCAGUCCGGUAUCCUGAGCACAGGGUGGGAUAUUUGUGAUAGAAUUCGAUGUUUAGCAGUCAUUUAAGUGGGGGGAAAAAAUCAGAAAUUACACUGGUCAAGAUUUUUGAACAGCCACUAUUCUCAUUGAUCGCUAGAUGCUCAAUUUUGCUUUAAAAAAAAGGAAAGAAAAGGACAACACUGAGGGACUGGGAUGAUUAUAAAAAAACCUUUCAGGCAGCUUUUUGCACUCGAAGCAUUAAAGUCUGCAUGAAUGUACAAGUCACUGAUUGGCAAUGCCCUCGAGCGGAAGAUCAAAAGUGGCCGCCUUAAUACUCAAAUGGUCUCAGUCCAGCUGAUGAUUAUUCUUGGUUUUCACUGGACCAGACGACAUGACAGCUCAAUGCUCACCUGGAAACUAUCAGUUCUUGCAAUAAUUAUCAGAUGCGUUGAUUGACCAGCUCCUAAAUCCUUCAACCUGUUCCUAUUACAGGUUAUAUGGCAAUGAAGAGGCGACUGAAAAAUGUUCGUGAGAGAGCACAGUUUCCAGAGACAUCGAAUAAUCCCGAACAAGAUCAAGAAGACUUCAUUGAUGAGGAUAUUCCGAACAAAUCUGAAUAGCCUCAGGAUCCAAGACAUGGAGCCGAUUUCAUGACACUCAUAAGUCAUCUAAUGGAUGUCUCCUUUUGGAUAGCGUUGAGCAAUAAGAUCACUACUACAUUACGGUGUUCCAAAACGUUAGUCUCUUUUUAGGUUUUUUGGAAAGGAACCAACGAAUAUCCUCACUCGAAAAUUACUGCAAUUUUUUUGGCUCAUGUCAAGUUCAUCUCUAUAAAAUUUAAGGCCUUGUCCACACGAGCGCAGUUCGCGGAACUUAUUCCUCGAACUUGCUCAGUUCCCGGAACUUAUUCCUUGAAACGAGGCAUGCUGUCCACACGAGUUCGUCCAAACUGGAACCGGAACAUCAAUAAAACUAUACAAUUAUUGC
rnacentral:lncRNA from 1 species